AACCGGAGGAAGGUGGGGAUUACAUCAAGUCACCAUGACUCUUACAUCCAGGGCUCCCCACACGCUACAAUGGCCGUUACAACUAGAAGCCAAACCACGAGGGAGACCAGAGCUCUAAAAGCCGCCCUCAGUUCAGAUUGCACUCUGCAACUCGAGUGCAUGAAGUCGGAGUUGCUAGUAACCGCGUGACAGCAUAGCGCGGUGAAUAUGUUCCCGGGCCUUGU
rnacentral:rRNA from 1 species